AGCAGCCGCGGUAAUUCCAGCUCCAAUAGCGUAUAUUAAAGUUGUUGCAGUUAAAAAGCUCGUAGUUGAAUUUCGAGACCGGUUUAUUGGUCGUGCUUUUGUACGUACUGGUAUUAUUGGUUUCUCCUUUCUGACGAAUCUUAAUGCCAUUAAUUUGGUGUUUUGGGGAAUCAGGACUGUUACUUUGAAAAAAUUUAGAGUGUUUAAAGCAGGCUCACGCUUGAAUACAUUAGCAUGGAAUAACGGAAUAGGACGUUUGAUUCUAUUUUGUUGGUUUCUAGGAUCGACGUAAUGAUUAAUAGGGAUAGUUGGGGGCAUUAGUAUUCAAUUGUCAGAGGUGAAAUUCUUGGAUUUAUUGAAGACUAACUACUGCGAAAGCAUUUGCCAAGGAUGUUUUCAUUAAUCAAGAACGAAAGUUAGGGGACCGAAGACGAUCAGAUACUGUCGUAGUCUUAACCAUAAACUAUGCCGACUAGGGAUCGGAUGAUGUUAAUUUUUUAAUGACUCAUUCGGCGCCUUA
rnacentral:misc_RNA from 2 species